AAAUUACAACGAAAGAAAAAGAAGCGGGAUUGUACCCGCCUUUAAUUAGUUUCUUUAUUUCCUUUAUUUUUUCAGCCAUUUUCAGCAAACUACAAUCUGGCUCCUCUUAUCCGAGCAUUUGUCUUGCUGCUGCAAGGAGCUUGUCGGCCUCCACCGCGCUAGAAGUUUUUCAUCUAAGGUAAGAUUUUUUUUCUACUGUUUUGUUUGUCCCUCACCCAUUUAUCUUUCCUGGGUAUUUUUUUUACUUUGUCAUGUAUUUCAAAUAUUUGAUUUUGUUUUUGUUUUCAUUUUUCAUAGAUUCACAUUUCAAAAUCUAACAAUUUGAUUUGGGUUUUCAUUUUUUUAGUUUUUGAGCUUUUGGGCUUUUGGAGUCUAAACAUCACUAGCAGCUAUGGAUCGAUAUAUGCAAUAUAGAUUGGCUGAACAAGAUGAAGAUAGUGUAGAAUCAUUUACAGAUUUGUUGACAAAUAAUAAUGACAAAAAGAAUGGUAGAGGUCCUACACAAAUGCGUGACAUUUGGGGAAAUCGUGAUGGUAAAAAGAUACAAAUCACAUGUAAUAAAUUUGGACAACCACAUGAUAAAAAUGCAAGUAGACUUGCAAACUUGAUUGGGACAUUAGUACGAGAUGGAAAAAAUGCUCCAAUUAACUAUGAAAAUUGGCAUAAAGUACCAGACAAAUACAAAGUUACAAUGUGGAGAAUCAUACAGGAAUAAUUUGAUAUUCCUUAUCUGGCAGAAAAUUGGACUAUGAGGACUUGUGGUAAGGAACUUAAAAAUUGGAAACAUUAUCUUAAGAAAACUUAUUAUUCAGAAACUUUAUCUUUUGAGGAGCAAAAAAAAUAUAAGGACAAAAGAGUAUAUGAUAAGCAAUGGGAGCAAUUAAUAAACUAUUGGGCAACAGAUGAUGCAAAG